GGCGCGCCAUCAAAAAAUGGUCGCUUCUAGCACAAUGAUAAAUUAUAUAAACCGUUGAAUGAAGUGAGCGGUUUUAAAACCCUUUGAAUUGCUGGGAACCCCUAAAGCCUUGCGUACCGAAGUGUAACAAUCAAAAGGAUAGAACAAUGGGCAAUCAGCACCCAAGCUACCUCAUGGCGAGAGGUAGAAGGGUCAACGACUAUCGAAAGCACGCCAGAUGGCGGAAGCGAGUAGAGUACACUCAAGCGAGUGGAAGCGGAGGGCAUGGGCAACCAUGGUGAUAUAGUCUGUUCUCAUAUGAAAGUGUGAG
rnacentral:ncRNA from 1 species